GGCAGGCCUUAACACAUGCAAGUCGAGCGGCAGCACGGGUACUUGUACCUGGUGGCGAGCGGCGGAACGGGUGAGUAAUGCCUAGGAAUCUGCCUGGUAGUGGGGGAUAACGCUCGGAAACGGACGCUAAUACCGCAUACGUCCUACGGGAGAAAGCAGGGGACCUUCGGGCCUUGCGCUAUCAGAUGAGCCUAGGUCGGAUUAGCUAGUUGGUGAGGUAAUGGCUCACCAAGGCGACGAUCCGUAACUGGUCUGAGAGGAUGAUCAGUCACACUGGAACUGAGACACGGUCCAGACUCCUACGGGAGGCAGCAGUGGGGAAUAUUGGACAAUGGGCGAAAGCCUGAUCCAGCCAUGCCGCGUGUGUGAAGAAGGUCUUCGGAUUGUAAAGCACUUUAAGUUGGGAGGAAGGGCAGUUACCUAAU
rnacentral:rRNA from 1 species